rnacentral:tRNA from 1 species
GACUCCAUAGCUCAGCUGGAUAGAGCAGCCGCCUUCUAAGCGGCAGGUCGCUGGUUCGAAUCCAGCUGGAGUCGCCA